UCAUAUCCUAAUAACCUUUCUUUUCAGCUACCUCUGGUGGAUUGUAGGCUAGAAGGGAGGAGAUGCUUUUGAACAGGGUCUGCUAUAUAGCCCAAGCUGGCCUGAAAUUCUCAGUCCUCCUACCGCAGAAUCCUUAGUACUGUGAUUACAGGUAUAUAUGUGCCCAGGCAUCUCUGAGCUUUCUCUUCAGAGGACCCAUGUCUUUCAUCGAUGGCUAGAACAGAAAGAUCAGGAGUUCAAAGCUACUAGAUCGGGGCUACAAAAUACCUUGUCUUAAAGCAAAACAUCAAAAGGUAUAGGUGAGGAUGGGCAUGUGCAUGUGUGCACACACGUAAGACCAACUUCCAUGUUCUUAGAUAUUUCCAUCAAGCAAAGAUCUCUAAACAGCCAUAUAACACAAGCAUCAUAAUACCAUAUCAUGAUUAUCUAGAAGUGAAAGCCUUCCACAGAAUAGGCAACUAGUAAUUGUUUAAUGAAUCUCCUUCUAACCACCAGUUCAACACAACCUAAUAGUGUCGAGCAUUCUCCUUUCUAGAACAGAAAACCAGGAAGUCUCUGCCUAGCAUGUUGAUGCCAGAAUUGCACCACUGCUUAGGACUAUCACCUCCAAACCAACCCUCUUAGUGAUCUCUUCUAGAGUUCUCCAAAGUACAGCUCAAGCUUCCGCCUACUCUGUUCUCAGCUCUUAAAUGUAACCUUAGUUUGGUUUGGGGAGGCUCCAGGCUGUUUCAGGAGGGUAGAGGUUGAAACAAGAUCUAUUGCUCUGUAGCCCUAGACCUAGUAGCUCUGUGGCUUAAAAGUAUUAGCCCCAACUAACCUUGAAGUUGUAGCAAUACUGCCUCCUCGGCUCCUGAGUACUGAAA
rnacentral:lncRNA from 1 species